UAAUAAUGUUAUUCUAUAUAUCUCAAGUAGUGUGUCACUAUGAACUAGGUUGUCAGCAUUAUUUAAAGUAAAUAUGAUGAUUCAUGAUGUGUGCCUGGUGUCUGGUUCCACAUGCCUGGCCACGUGGUAGCUAUGACUAGCUCCCCUUAACAACUUUGACUCUAAUGCCCAAGUGGACUUUGCUAUGCAAGCAUAGCUUACACACAUGCGUGCAGUUCACAAUUGGAGAGAAAGGGCUUUCCUAUCCUCAGUGAAGACGUUGGAUGAGAAAGCCUUCUUUAGCCUUCACCUGUUGGAGGCCAAAGGAAUGAGGGACGUGACCAACUCAAUAUACCACUGGAGGGUAUAUGAGCAAACAGCAAACUGUUCUCAUGAAAGCAGGAUGUUGGCAAACUGACAACUGCAUCUGUCACCAGAAGGAAUGCUGAGGGCAACCACGUCCCAGGCACCGUGUUCCUUAAGGUUAUCUAUAGGAACAUCUGGAGUCUGUUGAACAAAGAAAGCAAUCAUGUGAGCCUGUGAUAAAUCAAGUAGCUGACCAACAGUUACCCCUUCCUCCCUGUUCACUCCACGUAAUAAAUAUGAAGGGCUGUAGAAGCUCAGGGCCCUUGUUCUCUAGAAGCAAGGAGCCCUCUGACCCCUUCUUUUAAACAAAUUCUUUUGUCUUUGUCUUCAUUUCUGCAUUUGUCCUCCUUCGUUUAGUCCUACAGUAACAGCCACAAUGGCACCCAAACAGAGACUUGAAUGAAGAAGGUCUGCUGGAGCAGAGAAAGUGAAACUGAUCAGAUGAACGAGGAACCCCAGGACGAGUCAGCCAGAGGAGGAUAUAAAGUCAGUGCCCUGAGGAGCUGCAGUCUGGAAUUGCCUUUAUUCAAUUAAUGCAAAAACAAAAAGGGGGAGAUGUUGGAGGCCAAAGGAAUGAGGGACGUGACCAACUCAAUAUACCACUGGAGGGUAUAUGAGCAAACAGCAAACUGUUCUCAUGAAAGCAGCAUGCUGGCAAACUGACAAGUGCAUCUGCCACUAGAAGGAAUGCUGAGAGCAAUCACGUCCCAGGCACCGUGUUCCUUAAGGUUAUCUAUAGGAAUAUCUAGAGUCUGUUGAACAAAGAAAGCAAUCGUCAGCCUGUGAUAAAUCCAGUAGCUGACCGACAGUUACCCCUUCCUCCUUGUUCACUCUACCUAAUAAAUACGAAGGGCUGUAGAAGCUCAGGGCCCUUGUUCUCUAGAAGCUAGGAGCCCCUUGACCCCUUCUUUUAAACAAAUCCUUUUGUCUUUGUCUUCAUUUCUGUGUUCAUCCUCCUUCAUUCAGUCCUAUAGUAACAGCCACAUUUACCUGUGUAUAUACAUAUUUUUUCUGCUUUUCUUGCAUUGUAUCCUGUGCUGUAAUGAAUCUUUUUUGUUUUUAUUUUUAAAACAUGUUCUUUAACCCAAACAAAAAAUGGUCAAUAGAUAUAAUAAAUCUUAACUGAGAGUAUGCUGAGUCAUGUGAUUACUUCUGGUGAAUUACUGAAUUAGUGGGUGGUCAUGGGAUUACAAGCACUAUUUUCCUUAUUCCCAGUGCACUUAGUGUACAAUCCUUUCACAGAAUUACUGUAUUGCACUCUACAUAUUUACUUGUUUAAAAGCAUAUGGGCCAGGUGCGUUGGCUUAAGCCUGUAAUCCCAGCAGUUUGGGAGGCCAAGGCUGGCGGAUUGCCUGAGGUUAGGAGUUCAAG
rnacentral:lncRNA from 10 species